UAUAUUAUGAAACUUUGUAUUUUGUACACGAAUUUGUGAUUGUGAUAUUUUAUAAACGUUUAUAAACGAACAGAACAAAGGAACGAUUGAUAAAUUUAACAAAAAUAUUCUUCUUUUGUUAUUUCUUAAAAAUUAUUUCAUUCGAGAAACAGUGAUUCAUUUCACUAAUUAACAUUUACUUUUCUACAUUUACUCUCUCUACAUUUACUCUCACGGUAUCAACAACUUCUUUAUAAAUUCUGCUUAAAAAUUGUUUAAUAACCAUAUUUCCUACUAAUAUUUUCAGAGUCUGUGUACCACUCGAUCAAGCAACCCACGCGGGUAUGAAAUAAAUAAAUAGUGAAUUACAGAGGUAUUUAUUUUCGAGCAAUUACUGACUUCCACGAUUUAUUUAAAUUUCCAUCUGUAUUAUAAUUAAUCGAUAUUUUCCAAUGAACAGCCUGAGGUGGUUUAUUAUACGUGUUGGUUUAUUAAACAGACGAUCGAUAAAACUGUAAUAUUCGGUGUAUAUUAAAAUUACUUUAAAAUACAAUUACAAAAAUAGUGCCGGUCGUAAUCGUCGCUCGUUAUUCGACUGCGUGACUCGCUAUACUGAACGUCCUAGAGGACACGUUCGUCUAUUUGUAUCGACUGGUGGUGUUACAAGAAGGUCAAAUGUAACUCCGGUUGACGACUACAAACAAUAUUUUGCCCGCAGUUCGUUUACCUUUUUAAACCUAGCGAACCAAAACAACGUUGUUAUUCCAAGGCACAACAAUAUGAGUUUUUGUCGAUUCAGAUCUUCCAUUGAUUCAUGUGCCGCUACAAGUUUAAUUACUACACCUGUAUAUUUCUAUCGACAAAGAUUGUAGAAUGUAUGCUGUUAAAGUAUAUUAAUUAUGUAAACGACUUUAACGACUUUAACGACUGCGAACGUACAAAUACUUUUGUGAUUCACUGUAUAGUAUAUGUAUGUGAAUAUUUAUUCUCAUUACGUGGAAACAUAUUCUAAAAAUGUGUUCUAUUGUCAUCGUGAAACCAAUAAUAUACUGUGGCUCACGAAAGUCUUCGAACGCUUACAUAUGUAAACUUGAAUGACCGAAAUAAUGUACAUUCAAGUAACUUGCUUCGACAAGCAGAUGUCAAUAGGAAGAUGGAAGUUUUGAGGUUAUGUCAGUAAAAUUUGAAAAGGAUUCAACAACGUAGGUAGAAGUUAUACAUUUAUUAGAAACACGUAUUGUAAGUGACUGACAGAAGUAUUUAAACGCUACAUACAUUAUUAAAUUAUUUAAUAUUAAUAUUUUGUUGGAUCACCUUUAGCAGCGAUAGUGCGUCUCAAUCGACGUUCCAUGCUAUAAAUCAAUGAUUUUGUAAAAUUUUAUCUUCCAAUACUUGCUUUGAGAUUAUUUGAAAUUUAUUUCAUCUUUUUCCGAUUUUAGUCUAUAAAUUUUCAAUCGGAUUUAUGUCUGGACUUUGCGGUGGAGUAAUUAGCAUGUGUGGUGUGUUAUAUACGAUCCAUUCUUCCGCAAUUCUAGCAAUAUGCUUAGGAUCAUUAUCUUGUUGGAAGUGGAAAUCUUCCAAUAAUCCUAAUUCCUAAUUCUUCCGAAAAGAUGACUUUGUGCCAAAAAGAGUUAUCUUUAUUAAUAUAGAUUUUGUAAAAGUCAAUCUUUUUCUAUGAUUUACCACAUUAAUAUAUGGUUUGUUUCGUGGUACUCUCCCUUGGUACUACAGUGUCGCAGACAUAUCGUCUUACAUGACCGGCGAGAUAUACACAAUGUAGCGAUAAGCGCAUAGUUGCCGUCAAGCAGCGAGUUCUAAAAAACAUCGAUUCGCCUUCGGUCCGUUAUUUUACCUACACAAAAAAGGUAGCAUACGUGAUCAUAAGCGCGAACGAUUGCGAGACCCAAGCGUGGUGGGGGUCGUCUCCAAGAGAAGACAAAGGAAAAAAUCGAAGGGCAAUCAGUAUCAUACGAGGAUUCAAACCGAGAGGUUCAGAGAAAUAAAAUCAAGGCCGCUUAGUCAAACGAAUACGUCGAGAAAUAUUAUAAAGUCGAGUCGAAUUAUAAUAAUACACUAGUUGUAUCAUCGUUAAAUUAUUUGCACCGUGUUAAUUAUAAUUUUAAAUAUUGUUAAACAUGGAAGCUUAUAUUAACCCCGUUAAUUCUGUGUUACAAUCAUUCGAACUACCUCUGUUAUCCUAAUCGAAACAGGGGAACGACUGAUUCGCGGCGUCGACUAUCAAAAUCGUAGCGAGAAUUUACGCCUCUCACUGACGCGUUUCCUCGCGAUCGCGUCUCUCCGCGAACGGUCGUAACACUGUUACUGAAACGAUAUCCUAACCUCAAGUGAACGUAUCAAUAUUUUCAUUUAGCAACGAUGUUUACAUUCGAUGCAAACGAAGAUGGAAAACUAUCAACAGUGUUACAGCGUUCGAAUACUUUAGUGUGAAGCAGUUUCUAGCUGAAUUGAGAAAACUUGGUCGCAAAUGCAAGUAAGUUAGAAGCAUUAAUAUUUAUUUUGUAUUAUAUUCGAACGAAUGCAAAAGUAUCAAAAGAUAUUUAAAAACAGAACAAAAAAUAAAUAUACGAAACACUGCGGUUAGCCUGCAUAUAACGGAAUAUUUUAUUUUAGAACGAUAAGCGAAAAACCAAACGAAAUAAUUUGUACUACCACGUGAUAGUAAAGUUCAGAUAGUAAAAAUUCAAAUUGUUUACGUAGACCUAUAAAACGACGAUAAAACUACCAGCAACACUCACAGGAUGCGAUAAACACACCGUACAAAGCGUUAGAUAACACUUUGAUUUAACAUUUUAACACUUUGCAACUUUUUAUUUCAAAAGAUAUCAUUACACACGCGAAGAACAUAUACCCAAUAUUCUGGAACAUAUACCCAAGGAUGCACUGUAUUCACGCGUGUCAGAAUUAAUCCAAUACUCGCCAUUCUAUGAUUUAUACCUAUUCUCUCACAAUGAAACUUCUCAGUUGUCAUUGCAUUCUUAAGGGAUGUUCGUAUAUUAUCAACGUAGUAUCAUGUUUCUCACAACACAUGUUAUCUCAACGACCAAAUUACCAGCACGCGUUACUCGUGUUUUGUUAGGUUGGCAACUAAGUGAUUGCGGAUUUUGUCGAUACCACCUAAUGACAAACUCCGCAAUCACUUAGUUGCCAAUCCAAUACAAUUUAUUUCUAUCUAAACCUUUUGAUAUCUGCGCCAAGGAUCACGUAGCUGGUGUUCGUUUUAUUAGAGACGUUUAUUCAAACUCGACGCGAUAAUAACUUAGCUAAAUAAGUUGCUAAACGAGGGUACAUUUGUCUCGGAGGAAACGCUUUCAUUUGCAGAAGGCGCUAGACUCUCUCGUGUGUCGAUAUCGGCAGGUACUUCGCCGAUACAUAACUUCUGACCGAACAAAAACUUGUCUUUUUCUCCGCGAGCACGAAUAGCUCCAAGUCUUUCGUUUAUUUGCCGAUAAAAACGCGCCUCUCUGUAUCGAUUGAAAAUUGUUUACAAUGGUAGUUAUCAGCUUAAGCGGAUACGAAUAAUAAUAACGAAUAACUGAAAGAGCGACUGCAGCAAUUAAUUAAUUCGUAAACUAAGUUUUCAUUCAUUAAUUCGUUCAUCGAUCCUACGCUGGUAAAUUUCUCGCGUGGAAACAUCAUAUUUCUGCAUUGUUUUAAUUGAUUGAUGGAAUCGAUGGAAAAUUUCUUCGUAAGAUAUUUAUUAUUAUUAUUAUUUAAUUAUUUUAUUUAAAUUCGCAUCAAUUACUUCGGUCAUCAGCGACUAUUUUUAUACUCAACGGCGGCUUAUUGAAUUUUGUUCAACAUUUUAAACUUUGACUGCCACGCCAAAAUCGCAUGUUUCGCUGAGGUGUUUUAACACAGUGUUUUAACACAGUGUUUUAACACAGUGCACCAUUAGAUGCAAGAUAGGACGAGCAAUACCACCUAUUAACAAAAUCCGCAAUCACUUGGUUACCAACCUAAUAGCAUUAAAUUUUGUAACAAAGGUUUCAAUAAGUUGAGAAUUUAAUGGUAUUCUUCAACUGAUUUUAUGAAAUAAAUGUAAAUGAAUCGUAAUUUCUGCGUUCAAACAGCAAACGUUGUUAUGUCGAGUUUUAUACCAGCAUUCGCAAUUCUACUUCUAUUGGCAAUUAAGUGAUUGCGGAGUGGGUCAUUAGAUGGCAUUGACAAACUCCGCAAUCACUUAGUUGCCAACCUAAUAUUUCGCCAAUAACAAAAUCGAAAAUUACUUUCAAGCGUCUUUCAGUUUUAAGAAGAAUUCUGCAAGAAUUUCAUUCGACGAACCUUUCUCGCUAAAACCGUCGUUUACAUUGCGGCUAUUCACGCACACAAAACAGCUUCACGAAAUUUGAUACUCGAAUAACCUCCGCGAGCAAACGUUCCUGUUACUGCGCGCAUUCCUGAUAUGUCGAGUUCGUGUGAGAUUUGUUGAGAAAUUCAAGCCGAAGAAGAAGAAGAAUUGCACGCCGGUAGAUUGUCGGAUAUUGGCGAAAGAAAAACAGACGAAAGGAUCUGGAACAAGGAGCACACGCUCGGCAUCGUGCCCACCAAGGAAAUUGCAGUGUCACGUUUUGCAAAAAUGUCACGCGGAAUCUAGUCCCCUGGAUUAGUUCCAGAUUCGUUGAAUAUUAAAUUGGCGCUGCGAGAGCUGGUCGAUCGUCCCUGAAAACUAUUGUACUUCUCUUUUGUAGUCCGUAUGGAUUCGAGUGGACACUCGACGACAGAAGAGAAAAGAAUGAAAGAGUGGCAAAUCUCUUUUACUUUUCUCCGGAGGAAGAAAAGAAGCUGCGGAAUUAUUAGUAGGAUUUAUUGAAUGAAAUUAACAUGAAUUAACAUAACGUCGAGCGGAUGUUAAAAGAUAUUCCAUUCGUGUGUCUGUUUGAAUGGCAAAGGUAGCAGACGGGACGGAGCAGAGAGAAAAUUACACAGCGCCACGUUUAAUAAUAAUAAUUCCAGCAGGCGCCUUUAAUCUGGAUUGGUUCCAACUUCUUCGAAUAUUAAGCCGUGCGAAUGAAACACGAGAUCACUUUUCACUUGCGCCAACUUCUCGCCAUACUCCUCCGAGCCCUUCUCUUCUGCUGUCUUUUUCUUUCCUUCAGUUUGUGUGAACUCACGUGAGACUGCGCGUUAAGAGUGAUUAAAAUUUCCUGCCUUUCUUUCCCCGUGGACGCCUCUUCACCUGCACAGUUCCACGAUUCCAUUCACUUUCGUUAAAUUUUAAUGCUCGCGCCGUUAAUUUGGAAAAUUUGACAAAUAUUAGGUUGUCCGAAAAGUUUCUUUCGUUUCAUAAGAUGAUAAUAGAUGGACAACAAUUUCUGUUUUAUAUUAUUUUAUUGAAUUAGGUAUGAUCCAUUUCGUUCUAUUUCUAUUAUUACGUUCGUGCAUAAUUCAAUAAACUAAUAUAAAACAAAAAACAUUGCGCGUCUAUUAUUUUCUUACAAAACGAAAAAGACUUUUCGGAUAACCUAAUAUUUCUUUUCCAAUUCAUUAUCUCGUUCUUCUUAUCUCGUUGUUUUUUGCUGUUGAGCAAUCCGAGCUGAAGAAGUGUUUUUUAAUGAGAGAGGAGUUAAUCAAACUCUAUUUUCUAUCCUGUCCUUUUCCAUCGAAAGUUUAGCCGAGAACAUUGAACUUGCAACGAAGGAUAGCUCGGAGUUGCUGUUUAAUUGAGUCUCGAGAAACCUGUUUUCUCCUUUAGUCCACUCCACGCCCGAAGAAUUCGAGCGCUACACUUGAAAGUGGCGUGUCAGUCGUUCUUUCGAAGAAUGUUGUUCAUUCAAUUUUGUAUGGAACAUAAAUUCCGCGCGAUAUCGCGCAUUACUUUUCCUCCUUCGCGCGAUUGAAAUUUCAAUCGUGAAUGAAGAGAUUAGCUUUAUUACUAGACGAUGCAUUAUAUUAUAUUAAUUCAAAUCGAUAUUUUUAUUAAUGUAAUUGUUAAAACAGAAGUAGGAUAAAAAUUGUGUUAUUUAUUAAAUACUGCAAAAAAAUAA